rnacentral:rRNA from 1 species
CCGUGGUGCGUUUAUUUGAUUAAACUAGAAAUUGGUUGACUCAAAAUAUCUUUGCUGAACUACUCACGUAGUCAUGCGGUAUAAGUAUCUGCUUUAUCAACUUUCGAUGGUAGGGUAUUGGCCUACCAUGGUGUUGACGGAUAACGGAGAAUCAGGGUUCGACUCCGGAGAGGGAGCCUGAGAAACGGCUACCACAUCCAAGGAAGGCAGCAGGCGCGAAAAUUACCCGAUUUUAGUUAAAAGAGGUAGUGACGAAAAAUGACAAGGCUACAAAUUUUGUUUGUAGUCAUUGGAAAUCUUCGAGUCUAAAUAACUCGUUGGUAAAGGAAAGGGCAAGUCUGGUGCCAGCAGCCGCGGUAAUACCAGCUUUCCAAGUGCAUAAAAUGAUUGUUGUGGUUAAAAAGCUCGUAGUUGGAUUUUAACAGACUGUCUAUGAUCGUCAAUGACGUUUCAUAGCAUCUGCCAGCGAAUAUAACUAUUCGCUAGUUACUUUGAAUAAAUCA